AAAACUUAUUCGCUAACUCAUCUCAUUCUCUUCUUUGUUCGUCCUCUUCUCACUGACGGCGCAGACUUCUUCAUUCUUGAACUUGAAUCUUCGUUCUUCGAUCUCUUUAGUCUUUUCUUCAAUCCUCUUUCAUCUUCGACCGAUUGAUCAUCGUGGACCUUUGUUGUUUGACUUCGAGCCUCUUUGAAUCUUUCAUCUUCGACCAAUAGAUCAUCGUCAACAUUCGUUCAUCUUCCAAUCGUCGAUCAUCUUUGAUUUCAGCGACUGUAACUAAGGUUGUAUGGUUUUGUCAUAUGCUUAUCAUAAGGUUUAUUUUGUACACUACUGUCAAUGCUUAUUUUCCUUAAUCCAAUCAAGUUCGGGAUUACAUUCACAUUUGGGAAUUUACUUUCACUUGGGAGGUUUGUAUUUUAUUUUUUUAUAUGUUGGGGUGUGGUAAUUUAUUUAAUAUUUAGAAAUAUAGCUCAGCAUUAUUGUUGUUUGUUGGAUUUUUAGCUUAUAUUCUCCAUGGUGGUUUAACGAACUGAAUAUUGAAGUCUCGUAUGUGUAGGUGUGAAUGUGUAAGUUUAUGGUCAUUAGGAGUAGAGUAUAUACAGAAGUGCGUGAGAUUUUUAUACUUUUUUCAUAGUUUACAUUGUAGAUGGUUGUUCAAAAUCUUUUGAUUUUGUCAUUGAUGAAGUGGUCAAUUCCCACUGUACUCUAGGUGUUUUGCUUUGUUUUAUUUUUUAAGCCUGGGGUUUUGGAGGUAGGGAUGUUAGGAUCUAGUGAUAGUUAUAUUAUUUGGUUGAGAUAUCACCCAACCAUCUCCACUUUGCGUCUUCAAAAAUAUUUAUAAUUAGAUGAAGGAAAAAGGAAAACAAAAGGAUAUCUUGAUUUCUGCAUCAUUGCAGUUUAAAUUUCUCCAUGAUCUCCUUAGUGAAUGUUGGAACUGAGCAUCAUAUUGCUGCUACCUUAUUGUGGCUUGGGUUGAUUAAAAAACAUUUGGUAGUUUGAAAUUUUAAUAUAUGCAUUUUUCUUUGGAAGCAAUAACCUUAGGUGAUGCAUUUAAUGCGAUCUUUCUUUGAUUGCAGGUUCAUAACAAACUAUAGACACUUAUAGCAAUCAUUUUAGAGUUUGGUGCACUAAUUUGGUAUGUUGAACGACUUACAUACUCUUCCAUUAUGAAUAUAUCUUCUAUUUAAUCUCACUCACACCACAUUGGAGUUUGAACCUUCAAGGAUUAAAAUGAUCGUCUUCAAGCAAGAGAGCUAUAUGUAAGUUGAUCAUCUUUCAAUUAUCGAUAUAAAAUCUCUUUUGAUAUAUGUUAUGUGUUGUGAUCAGGAGUAGUGAAAAGGAGUAGCUUUUCUUGCAUACGUAUACUAUGGUGAGAUGGUGCACAUGGGGUGGACAUUUUUUUGUUAGUUAUGCACAUGUGAUAGUGCAUUUUGGAUUUUUAUUGCUCAUCAUGCAUAAAAAUCCAUGUAUGGACUAUAUAUAUAAAUAUAUAUAU